UGCUAGUCGGCUACCUUGUUUUCAACCAUUUUGCCUUGGUUUACAGUUCUUAAUGGGUUCUCUACGAAGUGAAUAUCCAGAGUGUAGACACCACCGGCAAUACGUGCAAACUCUUUCAGAGAUUCCUCUUGGAACAGUGCUCCCCGGAAGGGAGAGUGACAUCUCGGCGCUCACCUCAUCGAAGGGAAAGAAGCUACCUGUCCUCAUCCUUUGCAGAUCUAACUGUGCCUUUCAUCGAGCCCGGCCAUUUGGUAGACAUCAGCCCCACCGGGAGCCCCCCGCCUGGCUCUGCUCGAGUGCAGAUGAAGAUCCCUGGCCCGACUCCAAGCCCGCUGAGGUGUUAUCUGAUAUUUUAUUUAUCCAGCCCUAAAUUUGGGGAUGCAGGCAUUAUAAAUUGUUCACCAAGUUGUCAGGUGCCAAGGAGCCGAAGCAGAUGCUGCCGCACCUGGGUCAAAGGAUGACCGACUGUAACACAAGCUGGCUGAUUAUUUCCUCUGAACAGAAGGUAGGUCAUGACCAGGUUAAAUCAAUUGACCUCAUCCUGACAAUUCUAGGCCAGAAGCUGAAAACUCAAAUUCUCCUUCCAGGCUAAAGAGCAAGGAAAAUGUCAAUUAAU
rnacentral:lncRNA from 1 species